rnacentral:lncRNA from 1 species
CAAAGAGCCGGGGCGGGAGCGGCGGGGGCUCUCCGAGCGCCCGCAGCUCGGCGGAGCCGCACUCCCCGCUGUCACCCGCUGCGGCGCCCCCCGUCCGCCGGGCGAGGCUCGGGGUGCCAAGGGCCAGGCCCCCGGCGCGUCCUGGCUGGGUCGCGGGGAGAGGACUGUGCGCGCGCGCGCGUGAACCCUGCGAGUGCGCGCGCGGCUGCGCUCACCUGCAGACUUGAGGGGACCUUCCCGCCCAGGAAGGCCUCUUUGUUCCCGUUUCUUCGCACCUCACCUUUUCUCACCCCCGGCUUCCCCUUUUAUGUCAGCCCAGAGACUAGAGACCGGCCGGCCUCGGCCUUGCGCCCAGCGCGCGGGUGGACGGGAGGGUCCGCGGCUCGGCUCGGCCCGCAGGAGGGAAGAGCCCGGGGCCCAGCAUGCGCCUGGCUCCAGCGCUUCGGCCCAGCCCCCGAUGCGCAACCUCAGCCAGCCAGUGUAGACAAGGCUCACAGCGGCGGGGGAGGAACGCUGCCGGGGAAGGAAGGCUCAGGUGUCAGGACAGGUCGCCAAGCCUGGUGCUGCCAGACCUCGAGCGGCUGGAGAGGUGGCGGUCGGGACUCAGCGGUCCCACCAGGAGGGACGUGCCGGGCCCCGCCCAGCCCCCUGCAGACUCCGUUAGCGGCCCCUCCCCACAGGAAGGAAAGUGACAGCGCGAGGCUCGCAGUCACCGAGGCUGUCGGCAGCUGCGCGGCUCCGGGCGAGGGGGAGGAGUGGGGAGGCCACGCAGCGGGGGACGUGGACCGGGACCGUGGCUCUGCCCCCCAGCCCCGGGCCGUCCUCCGGCUGAAGCUGGGAUUCUCCGAGUCGUCUGGCGACAGGAGACCUUGCCUCGGUUGAGCAGCCCUUCGGGAGAGGGAGGAGAGAAGUGUAAAGAGCUGCCAGGCUGUGCCAGCCCCAAGCUCCAUUACUCAGACUGAGUGACCGAGUUUAGGGGGCCGGGCCCAUCUCUGCACUGCACGGCCGCGGGGACCGAGGCCUGGGCGCGCACUGCCUCGGAGAUGGGGCAGCCUCCAGCCUGCAGGCCCCGCCCAGCUCCAGAACACAGGCUGUUUGAGGGGCAGCCUGGGUUCUUCCUUCCCUAGACGGAUUCUACACUGAGAAGCCCAGCGCUGGCACCCAGGCAGCGUAGGGCCCGCGAAGACCCCAAAGGAGGGGGGUCGGAACCGUGGACCCGGGCCGAGCCUGAGCACCACCAUCUGAGCCCCUAAGCUGCAAAGCUGCGGCGCUGGGGCCUGAGGGGGCUGGUGGUGGCUGCCAUUGUCAUUAA